CCUACGGGAGGCAGCAGUGGGGAAUAUUGGGCAAUGGAGGCAACUCUGACCCAGCAACGCCGCGUGAAUGAUGAAGGUCUUCGGAUUGUAAAGUUCUGUGAUUGGGGAUGAACACCAUGACGGUCCCCCCCUAGCAAGCGACGGCUAACUACGUGCCCGCAGCCGCGGUAAUACGUCGGUGGCAGGCGUUCUCCGGAAUGACUGGGCGUAAAGGGUGCGUAGGUGGUUUGGUAAGGUGGCGGUGUAAUUCCGGGGCUCAACCUCGGCGCUACCGCCAAAACUAGUAGACUAGAGUGCAGGGGGGGUAAGUGGAAUGCCUAGUGUAGCGGUGGAAUGCGUAGAUAUUAGGAGGAACAUCAGGGGCGAAGGCGACUUACUGGACUGUAACUGACGCUGAGGCACGAAAGCGUGGGGAGCAAACAGGAUUAGAUACCCUUGUAGUC
rnacentral:rRNA from 1 species